CAUCAUAUCUCUAUAACUGCUGCUACAAAACCCUCUUAGCUUUAGUCUAGAUCUCCUACAGCUUUAUAAACAAUCCCCACCUACAUGAUGAUAAUUCCUCAUGGUCUUCUAUACAGAUCACAACGCCACUGACCCAUCCUUUCAUCUCUGAGUCAUGGGCCAAUAGAAGAAGUACCCCCAAGCUGGGUCAGUUCCAGAGAGAUCAGACGAUUUGCCCGAGUACUCGUCUGAGGAUGAAGGAGACUGAGCUCGAAGCUCCUUGUCUUACAGGAGAACUUGUCCUUCACUGACACCAUCUCUCUCUCUCUAACCUGUACUUACAGCGCAUGUGCGAAGUGGAGGGUAAUAGGUGCUUCACUAAAGCAAUUACAACGUCCUCUCGUCUGCUGAGUUUCUCUACUCCCAUUGUCUUCAGUUCCUUCAACUUUUCAAGCACAUCCGAGUACUAUUUUAAGAUCAUGCAGAACAGGCUCUCAAUCAGCCUCAUGUGAGCAUCUGGCUUCCGAAAAUGGCCAAACCUGUUUGUUACCGAGUGUACACAAGGCAGGGAUGAACAGAAGAAAGAAUCAUUUCCUUCUGGAGAAGAUGGCGUAGGCAGUCUAAUAAGCUUAAAAAGUUCGUUAGCCAUCUUGAAGAAAUUAGAUUGACGUUUUGAGAAUGAAACUUGGCGAGCAUCUUCCCCGUGAAUCAUUUUGAUUUAAGUCGAGAUUGACAUGGAUGUGAUGACAAUUUAAGAAAAAGAUGUGAGCACAAGAAUUCGG